rnacentral:rRNA from 1 species
AUUGAACGCUGGCGGCAGGCCUAACACAUGCAAGUCGAGCGGUAGAGAGGUGCUUGCAUCUCUUGAGAGCGGCGGACGGGUGAGUAAUGCCUAGGAAUCUGCCUGGUAGUGGGGGAUAACGUUCGGAAACGGACGCUAAUACCGCAUACGUCCUACGGGAGAAAGCAGGGGACCUUCGGGCCUUGCGCUAUCAGAUGAGCCUAGGUCGGAUUAGCUAGUUGGUGAGGUAAUGGCUCACCAAGGCGACGAUCCGUAACUGGUCUGAGAGGAUGAUCAGUCACACUGGAACUGAGACACGGCCCAGACUCCUACGGGAGGCAGCAGUGGGGAAUAUUGGACAAUGGGCGAAAGCCUGAUCCAGCCAUGCCGCGUGUGUGAAGAAGGUCUUCGGAUUGUAAAGCACUUUAAGUU